AAUGAACGCUGGCGGCGUGCUUAACACGUGCAAGUCGUGCGCGAAGGUGGCUUCGGCCGCCGGAGAGCGGCGAACGGGUGAGUAACACGUGGGUGAUCUGCCUGGGAGCGGGGGAUAACCUGGGGAAACUCGGGCUAAUACCGCAUACGUUGAUCAGGUUGCGGCCUGGUCAAGAAAGCUGGCCUCUAUUUAUAAGCUAGCGCCCCCAGAGGAGCCCGCGGCUGAUUAGCUAGUUGGUAGGGUAAUGGCCUACCAAGGCGACGAUCAGUAGCCGGCCUGAGAGGGUGAUCGGCCACACUGGGGCUGAGACACGGCCCAGACUCCUACGGGAGGCAGCAGUGGGGAAUAUUGGACAAUGGGCGCAAGCCUGAUCCAGCAACGCCGCGUGGAGGACGAAGGUCUUCGGAUCGUAAACUCCUGUCAGGCGGGACGAAGGUUCCGGGGCAAAUAGUCCCGGAGCUUGACGGUACUGCCAGAGGAAGCCCCGGCUAACUCCGUGCCAGCAGCCGCGGUAAUACGGAGGGGGCGAGCGUUAUUCGGAAUUAUUGGGCGUAAAGGGCGCGUAGGCGGCCCAGUAAGUCAAAGGUGAAAUCCCUCGGCUCAACUGAGGAACUGCCUUUGAACUGUCGGGCUUGAGGCCGGGAGGGGGUAGCGGAAUUCCCGGUGUAGCGGUGAAAUGCGUAGAUAUUGGGAGGAACACCGGUGGCGAAGGCGGCUACCUGGACCGGUUCUGACGCUGAUGCGCGAAAGCGUGGGUAGCAAACAGGAUUA
rnacentral:rRNA from 1 species